rnacentral:lncRNA from 1 species
UUUUUUUUGGUUAAUAUAUCUAUGCCAGACUGAAGUUCAAAUAUGUGCACACACAUAGGAGAAAUUUGGAUGAAAAAUUAUAAAGGCUGCAGUUUGUGGAAUCUGACACUGCACGGUUGCUCUGGAGACUCGAAGAAAAUAAAAGCCCCUGUAAGACUGUUUUGAAGACUCUCUUCUUAUGGAAUCUGCUAAGUUGCUCUUACCGCGAAUGCACGGUUCCAACUCCAUUUCAAGUGGAACACCCAGAGAGAUACAUUUCUGCAGUAGCAGUAUGCAAUGCAACUCCAAUUGGAAGGACAUCCUCGUCCACGAAGAAAUGCGGGUUGUGAUAACAGUGCACCGAACCAACUUUCUCGUUUCUAAUACCGAUACCAAAUAUGAUGCCAGGAACUAACUGUUGGUAGAAAGCAAAGUCUUCCCCUGCCAUGAUCUUCUCCCCCGGCUUCACAUUGUCUGGGCCAAGCAAACUUCUGCCCACAUUCUCGACGUGGCGAUGCAGCCUCUCGUCAUUCACGACUGCAGGAUACAUUGGGUAGGAGGGAGCCCCCAGGAUCUCUGCAACUCCCUUGCAUCUAUGUACAGCUGCCUGCCCUUCUACUACCUGGGAAAACCAAGAACAUUUAUUCAGGGCCCUUCAAUUUGCAUUAUCUUCACGGUAAAAGCUACUCCCUCCGCUCCAAAAUGUAAGACUGUUUGAUAGUGUCAAAAACAGUCUUACAUUUUGGGACGGAGGGAGUAUUUUAUAGUUUGAAGUUACCAUUGGCAUGCAAAGAAUUAGCCAUAUGCAAACAGCGUUAACUCCUUCGUGCUUGCCGUACAAAAAGAAAAGAAACAUGAAUUUUGCUGACCAAGGAAACAGGACCAAUAGACCAUGCAUAAAUGUGUAGGUUGUGUAGUUGAAAACUGAAAGCACAUCCGACUUUUGAGAGAAUGCACCCAAGGUGCUCUCAUUGAUCUGAAGCUCUUUGCUCAAAGGAAAAUAAACUAUGAAGGUACCGGUGAUUGCAGCAUACCAAUAUUACUAUCAGAAAUGCUACCUCUUAGUGAAUUAAAUUGUGCCAUAAUGCUUACCUCCUUAAGCCUUUUCUCCAGCCGAUGAAGUCCUUCAGUAGUGAGGCUCCUCAAAGUGCCUCCGAAUUCAACAACUAAAGGUGUGGCAUCAGUAGAAUUCCCAGCUUUAAUAUAGGUAACAGAGAGGACCUGAACACAAUAAAUAGACAGAUCAAACCGGGCAUGUUAAUGUUAUGGGCUGUAUGGCGGAGCAAAACUUGGGGGAACAACAUUUAGAAGCAUGUGCUGCUGCCUAAAGUAGGUUGGUUGAAUGUAGACAGUUAUACUAGCCACUCUAAAGAAAUUCAUUGAGGUGUAUAACACUUGACUGAUGCUAAAAAUAUGCAUCAAAAUAAGUAUCACAUUUUAGCGAAGAUGUUAUUUCUCCAUAUGAGAUCAUCACUGGAGUAGCAUUUCAGGUGCCACUUCAAUAUGUUCCAUUAUGCCAAAUUUAUUGUGAUAAAAAGACUUCCGUUUGUUGGCAUGAUCAGCUACAUUUUCUUUCUAUAUGACAUGCUUGAAGAAAAUCAGCUAAGCAAAGUAGUAUCGCUAUAGGACAAGGUCGUACUUGGCUGUGAAGAGGAUCAUCUUCUCUCGAGGUGAGCUGUUGCAGGGAGAGGAUGGUAAAUGCCGCAGCAACAAUAGGAUCCACAUUCAAGUGUGGUGUUUCAGCCUUCCCGGUUUUACCUUCUAUUUUCACUACGUAGAAACACACGGCUGCAUGUGUUGGCCCUGCGUGAGCAGCUAUUGCACCUGUCGGAAUCUGACAAUUGACGUGCAUGGCGAAUAUAGCUUCAACACCAUCAAGAACACCUUCUUUUACCAUAUGAGACGCACCAGCACCGCCCUCCUCAGCAGGUUGAAAAAGGAGUCUCACAGUUCCCUUCAUCAUACAAGAUAAGUUUUACUCCCUCCGUUCGGAAAUACUUGUCUUAGAAAUGGAUAAAAUGGAUGUAUCUAUAACUAAAACAAGUCUAGAUACAACUAUUUCUAGGACAAGUAUUUCCGAACGGAGGGAGUACAUAAUAUGUAUAUGCUUCAUUAUACAAGACAAAUGUUACAUUAAUCUGUAACUUCUGAAAAAGGUGUUUUCACAGAACUAAUUGCUAACCGUGAUUAACACAAAAUUUCUGAUUUAAUGGUCACUCUGCUUUUUUUACGGAAUGAUCAUCCCUACUUUGCUGAGUUAAGUUAUGAUAUCUGACUAUUAAUUACUACCUUGCAUUGGCUCACAAAAGACGAAGGAAGUGCAUUUGGGUUGUAUUUCCUUUGGACAAGGAAAAGCAAAAUCAGCAAGUGGCAUGUGUUAACAUGAAACUGAAAACUUACACCAGGGGAUUAAGUGUUUUGUCUUACAACCUCGCCAAAACACAACUGAAGUACUAAAUUCGGUCAAAGGAAAAGCAUUGCGGUUGUAUUCUCUCUGGACAAAGUACAAGAGAAUUAGUAAAUGGCAUGUGUUAUUGACUUAUUGUUAACAUGAGACUGAAGAACAGACACCAGGGGGUGUAAAGUGUUCUGUCGAGCGACCUCACCCAAACAUAUCCGAAGUACUACUAAAUUCAGUCAAACUUAGAGCAGAAUCAUAAGCAAGCACUCACCUUAAGCUGAUCCUUGCGCUCAUGCAGCAACUUUGCCGCUCCGAGGAGCAUCGCUGUGUGCGCAUCAUGGCCACACGCGUGCAUCAUGCCAUCAACUCUGCUCUUAUGCUCCCACUCCACCAGUUCCUGCCAUCCCAAGUGCGCACAACCAACAAAAUGCCAUCCCUCCAGCAAAACAAUAUCAUACCAACCGAGAGCAAGAGACAGUCACAAGAUUGAGAGCACACGAAUCAAGCAAGCACGAUCAGUAGUAGUACAGUACCGAGAAGAUACAGUUCUGCCGUUCAGCACCAACCACCGGUCACACACACCGCGCCAGACUACCAGAGUAGCAUCGGAGGGGAAGGGCACCCUGCGCCAGACCACAAGUGUAGCAUCGGACGGGAAGAGAAGAGGGGAACGGACCUGGAUGGGCAGGGCGUCCAUGUCGGCGCGGAGGGCGACGAUCGGGGGCAUGCCCAAGCCGACAUCAGCGACGACGCCGGUGCCGGCAACGGCGCGGGCGGUGAUCCCUAGCCCCUCGAGCUCCUCGCGGACGAGUGCGCUGGUGCGGCGCUCCUGGAACGCGAGCUCCGGGUGGGCGUGGAUGCGCCGCCGCACGCCGAUAAUCCACUCGCGCUCCCCCUCGGCGCGCCGAAGCAGCUCCUGCGGGUACUCCGCAGACGCGGUGGAUAGGAGGAGGACGGCCAAGAGGCAGAGGAGCGGAGCGGCCAUGGUCAAGUGAAGGGUGGGCGAAGCUCUCGUUGACGGAGCGAAUGCUACAACAAACUAAAAUUAAGACGAAUGAAUCACCCGAGAGCAAGAAAAGGAGCAGCCUGUAGAACGGACAAAGAGACUUUUUUAUAUUUUUGCGGGAGAACGUUCAAAACCAUGUACAGCUGUGAGUGAGCUGAAUCACUAUACUUCAUAUCUGGGAGUGAAAAACUGAAAAACACUCACAGCUAAUGACAGUACUAAUUUAAAACAAAGGUAAAAAAGUACUCCCUCCGUUCCUAAAUAUAAGUGUUUUAAGAGAUUCCGCUAUAGACUACAUACGGAGCAAAAUGAGUGAACUUAUACUCUAAAAAUCGUCUAUAUACAUCCGAAUGUAGUCUCUAUAAGUGAAAUCUCUAAAAAGAGAUAUACUCCUAUUUAGGAAGCGAAGGGAGUAAGUAAUAUGCUGGACAUAAGAACAUGUUGAGCAAGCACCAGUCUGUCUGUUUAUCAUUCUGAUGUCAAAUGACAGAAGGAAACGAAGUACAGGAGGAUUUAGCCCGUUUGUUCAGAAACAAAACUACAGAAGGCCCGCAAUCCACCGACAUCCCACUCUGAUCUCAAGUGUCUCAGGUUCUCGCUGUAUUCAUAUAUUUAUGCUCGACUACUACUGUGUUCAUCCUAGCUGCCUCGGUGUGGAAUGUUGUUUGCUCUGGCUGUGCAAUCUGUUUGAAGAACAAGAUGACCAAAGGUGCCGCGGCCGGUGCUCAUCACUUUGUUCCUAUGCUACUCGUGAUUCAUGAACCCUGC